rnacentral:rRNA from 1 species
GACGAACGCUGGCGGCGUGCUUAACACAUGCAAGUCGAACGGAGUGGCAAACGGGUGAGUAACACGUAAUCAACCUGCCUUUCAGAGGGGGACAACAGUUGGAAACGACUGCUAAUACCGCAUACUGAAGGAGGGGCUUGCGUCUGAUUAGCUAGUUGGAGGGGUAACGGCCCACCAAGGCGAUGAUCAGUAGCCGGUCUGAGAGGAUGAACGGCCACAUUGGGACUGGGACACGGCCCAGACUCUUACGGGAGGCAGCAGUGGGGAAUCUUCCGCAAUGGACGAAAGUCUGACGGAGCAACGCCGCGUGAGUGAUGACGGCCUUCGGGUUGUAAAGCUCUGUUAAUCGGGACGCGGUACCGGAAUAGAAAGCCACGGCUAACUACGUGCCAGCCGCCGCGGUAAUAC